AGUCCUGGCUCAGGAUGAACGCUAGCUACAGGCUUAACACAUGCAAGUCGAGGGCAGCAGUUGGAGUAGCAAUACUUCAGAUGGCGACCGGCGCACGGUGAGUAACACGUAUCCAACCUGCCGCUUACUCGGGGAUAGCCUUUCGAAAGAAAGAUUAAUACCCGAUGGUAUAAAGAGUUCGCAUGUUCUCUUUAUUAAAGAAUUCGGUAAGCGAUGGGGAUGCGUUCCAUUAGAUAGUUGGCGGGGUAACGGCCCACCAAGUCUACGAUGGAUAGGGGUUCUGAGAGGAAGGUCCCCCACAUUGGAACUGAGACACGGUCCAAACUCCUACGGGAGGCAGCAGUGAGGAAUAUUGGUCAAUGGACGAGAGUCUGAACCAGCCAAGUAGCGUGAAGGAUGACUGCCCUAUGGGUUGUAAACUUCUUUUAUAAGGGAAUAAAGUGAGGGACGUGUCCCUUUUUGUAUGUACCUUAUGAAUAAGGAUCGGCUAACUCCGUG
rnacentral:rRNA from 1 species